AUGGGAACGCGAAGAACCUUACCUAGACUUGACAUCUCCUGAAUAGUGUAGAGAUACAUGAAGCCCUUCGGGGCAGGAAGACGGGUGGUGCAUGGUUGUCGUCAGCUCGUGUCGUGAGAUGUUGGGUUAAGUCCCGCAACGAGCGCAACCCUUAUUACUAGUUGCUACCAUUAAGUUGAGCACUCUAGUGAGACUGCCCGGGUUAACCGGGAGGAAGGCGGGGAUGACGUCAAAUCAUCAUGCCCCUUAUGUCUAGGGCAACACACGUGCUACAAUGGUGAGUACAGAUAGAUGCGAUACCGCAAGGUGGAGCCAAACUCUAAAACUCAUCCCAGUUCGGAUUGUAGGCUGCAACUCGCCUACAUGAAGUUGGAGUUGCUAGUAAUCGCGAAUCAGAAUGUCGCGGUGAAUACGUUCCCGGGUCUUGUACACACCG
rnacentral:rRNA from 1 species